UUCCAGGAGCCUUCCCAUGGAAGCUGUAAGUCAGAAAUUUGGGUUUGACAACAAGUUGUCUCUGAAUUGCUUUUCUCAAGUUAUUUAUGGGCCAUGCUUCCAGCCGCAAGUCAACAAUUAUUGAAUAAGGACCUUAUGCACUUCAUCCUACUCCAUCUGCUUGGAGCUGUUAUGAAAUCUGAUCUACUUCUUGAUUCUUAAGUGAUGAGAACUGAAACAGGUGAAGGGAAAUUUUCAGAAUCUUCCAUCUUUAUGCCUGUUGGAUGCUGUUGAAGAGUGGGAUAGAUGUAUCAAAUAUUAACACAAGAUAUGUGCCUGCUCCACGUCUGCUCUUUGCUUCCACUUGGCACUUCAGCUCAUGUGCAUCGUGCUGCAGUUUGUGCCAAUACUUGUCUUGUACCAAUGAAGUGUAGUCAAUGUAGUUCAAAAAGCUCAUUGUUGCUAAUGGAAUCAAAGCAUCCAAAACCAUUCUGACAAGAAUUCUGACAUAUAUGGGAAAAAUACAUGCAAGCUCUGAGAUCAGCAAGGAGAGGUUUAUAUAACUUGUUUGUAGUGUGGUGACACCUUUGUUCGCUACAAUCAUCAAAAUGAACAAUGAUUUAUUUAUAAUUAAUUUAUUAUAGUUUAAAGGUUUAAGUGAAAAAUACCAUAUGAAAUACACAUUUUUUUUUUCCUUUUAAUAACUCAGGACAAAGAGAAUACUAUUCCAGGAACUAUUUUCUUUCCAUUUUUACUUUACAUUACAAACUAUCUUUUGUUUUCUAAAAUAUAAGAAUUAGGAUGAUGAUGAUGAUGAAAAAAAAUAUUGUGUUUAUCUAAACAGGGCAAGGUUUCUGAAGGAAAAAAUUAGCAAAAAGCUUUAACUUUGUUUAAAACUCUCUAAACUUCACAUAAACAUCAUACCUUUGAAUAAGACUUGUCAGUUUCAAAGCACUACAGAAUUUGACAAUUGCUGUUAUUUCAACUCACAAUGUCAUGAUGUACCAGAGACAUUUCAUAUGUAGAGAUAAAAAUUUAAUUGAUAAUACUCUUUCUUCUUGAUUUAUUUUUUUCAGAGAAAAGAAACCAGUUUGUGUGUCAGGAGUUUCCUUACAAAUUAAAGCUUUCUUGUAUAGAUACACGUUGUAUGUUCAGGUGGAGAGAAAUAAAAACCAAAAAACCACAAA